rnacentral:rRNA from 1 species
CACGUAGGCGGACUUUUAAGUCAGGGGUGAAAUCCCGGGGCUCAACCCCGGAACUGCCUUUGAUACUGGAAGUCUUGAGUAUGGUAGAGGUGAGUGGAAUUCCGAGUGUAGAGGUGAAAUUCGUAGAUAUUCGGAGGAACACCAGUGGCGAAGGCGGCUCACUGGACCAUUACUGGCGCUGAGGUGCGAAAGCGUGGGGAGCAAACAG